UAGGGAAUAUUAGAAAUGGACGCAAGUCUGAACCAGCCACGUCGCGUGAAGGAAGACGGCCCUACGGGUUGUAAACUUCUUUUGUAAGGGAAUAAAGUUAGCCACGUGUGGCUUUUUGCAUGUACCUUACGAAUAAGGAUCGGCUAACUCCGUGCCAGCAGCCGCGGUAAUACGGAGGAUCCGAGCGUUAUCCGGAUUUAUUGGGUUUAAAGGGUGCGCAGGCGGGAGAUUAAGUCGGCGGUGAAAUUUUGCAGCUCAACUGUAAAAGUGCCUUCGAUACUGGUUUCCUUGAGUGUGGAUGAAGUAGGCGGAAUUUGUGGUGUAGCGGUGAAAUGCUUAGAUAUCACGAGGAACUCCGAUUGCGCAGGCAGCUUACUAAACCACUACUGACGCUCAGGCACGAAGGCGUGGGGAUCAAACAGG
rnacentral:rRNA from 2 species